rnacentral:siRNA from 1 species
CAGGACCAUUGCGGUUGUGCAA